rnacentral:rRNA from 1 species
AGCACUUGCAUAUCAAAAUCUUUAAUUGAAGAGUUUGAUCAUGGCUCAGAUUGAACGCUGGCGGCAGGCCUAACACAUGCAAGUCGAGCGGUAACAUUUCUAGCUU